GAUCCUGGCUUAGGAUUAACGCUGGCGGCAUGCCUAAUACAUGCAAGUCGAAUGGGGAGCUUGCUUCCCAUGGCGAACGGGUGAGUAAUACGUAGGUAACCUACCUUUAGGACGAGGAUAACCUUUGGAAACGAAGGAUAAUACUGGAUAGUAUAGAUUUCCGCAUGGAGAUAUAUUUAAAGAUUUAUCACCCAGAGAGGGGCCUGCGGUGCAUUAGCUAGUUGGCGGGAUAAAGCCCACCAAGGCGAUGAUGCAUAGCCGGACUGAGAGGUUGUACGGCCACAAUGGAACUGAGAACGGUCCAUACUCCUACGGGAGGCAGCAGUAGGGAAUUUUCGGCAAUGGGCGGAAGCCUGACCGAGCCAAUGCCGCGUGAAUGAUGAAGUAUUUCGGUAUGUAAAGUUCUUUUAUCUAGGAAGAAAAAACAAAUUGACGGUACUAGAUGAAUAAGCUCCGGCUAACUACGUGCCAGCAGCCGC
rnacentral:rRNA from 1 species